rnacentral:rRNA from 1 species
CAGCCGCCGCGGGAACACGAAGGGGGCUAGCGUUGUUCGGAAUUACUGGGCGUAAAGCGCACGCAGGCGGCUCGAUAAAUUAGAAGUGAAAGCCUUGGGCUUAACCUGAGAAUUGCUUUUAAGACUGUCGAGCUAGAAUCCAGAAGAGGGUAGUGGAAUUCCGAGUGUAGAGGUGAAAUUCGUAGAUAUUCGGAAGAACACCAGUGGCGAAGGCGACUACCUGGUCUGGCAUUGACGCUCAUGUGCGAAAGCGUGGGGAGCAAACAGGAUUAGAUACCCCCGUAGUCCCUGUCUCUUAUAC